CCUACGGGUGGCAGCAGUGAGGAAUAUUGGUCAAUGGACGCAAGUCUGAACCAGCCAUGCCGCGUGCAGGAAGACGGCUCUAUGAGUUGUAAACUGCUUUUGUACGAGGGUAAACGCAGAUACGCGUAUCUGUCUGAAAGUAUCGUACGAAUAAGGAUCGGCUAACUCCGUGCCAGCAGCCGCGGUAAUACGGAGGAUUCAAGCGUUAUCCGGAUUUAUUGGGUUUAAAGGGUGCGUAGGCGGUCGGAUAAGUUAGAGGUGAAAUCCCGAGGCUCAACUUCGGAAUGGCCUCUGAUACUGUUCGGCUUGAGAGUAGUUGCGGUAGGCGGAAUGUAUGGUGUAGCGGUGAAAUGCUUAGAGAUCAUACAGAACACCGAUUGCGAAGGCAGCUUACCAAGCUACUUCUGACGUUGAGGCACGAAAGCGUGGGGAGCAAACAGGAUUAGAUACCCUAGUAGUC
rnacentral:rRNA from 1 species